rnacentral:lncRNA from 1 species
UGCUUACAAUGAUGUGCUGGUUAAAAAAUGAGCUGAUCCGAUUUUACUGGCCUUAUUUGACUUUAUUUCUCUGUUUUGGUCUCCUCAUUUAUCCUUUUCCUUACAGAUCAAAUAGAUAUUAAAUGAAGAGCUCAAAAUUAUUUUAAAAAACAAUGUUGAAUCCAAAUUGCAGAUAUCUAUUCAGUAAAUCAUGCUAAGUAGAUAAGAUUCUUAUUUCUUCUUAUUUACCUAAAAAAAACCCCAAAAGCUGGUUGUGUUUUGGCUUCAGAAAGCGAGAUCUUGUAGUUGAGACAGGAUAGAAAUAGCCUUUAAAAGCUAAAUGAAAUGAAUAGUCUUGCAAAGGGAAAAAAAGAGGAAUUUUUCAUGAGUCCCUGGAAACCAGCAAAAAAGCAUCAAAACUGUUGUUUUCAGUAAUAAUUGUGAUUACUUGGUUAAAAUACCCCGUACGAGAAGCUUUCGAUGUUUUUUGUGCCUCUACAAGGAAAAUUAAAACAGAACACACAGCAUUGGGGCCAAUUUGUUUCCAAGGAAGUCAAUUAUUAAUACUGUAUUUAGUAUUUAAUGAACUAAGCCGAUGUAUGUGAAACGCUGCAGAGAUCUCCUUACCAGCGGAGAACAGGUGUUGAUAGAAGCUUUGCCCGUAUGUUUACCAGCUGAUUAGUACCCAUUAAAAUGAUAAUAAUCUAAUAAAAAUUACUUUAUGUCUAGUGAAAGUUGAAAGUCCCCUGUGUAUUGGAGAAUGAUUUUUUUUCUAUUGCAUGGCAGUGAUAGGAUUGAAGUGACAAGAAUCCACCCCCAAAGCAGCGUGAAUGUUCUGAAUUUCUAUGCCUUAGACUUUUCACUUCAAGUGUCCCUUUCUCCAAAGGUUGACUCUGGCAGUCAGGACACUUCACUGUUUUUCAUGGCUUCAAGGGAAGGACAGUUACCAACCCACCAAAAUCCUCUGGCAAUAGGAAAAGGAAUCAGAUCCUUAGUAAACGACACUACCUUGUCCAUCUUAGGAGACCAGAGGAGAAACUAUGGGUGUCCUGAAGGACUGUUCUGGGCUUUGGUUGUCCCAGACAGCCCCGAGCAGUUGCUAAGGAAACUCUGAGCCAUCUGUGAGCUGGCAGUUUCCUGGGAAACCCUUGAUUUCAGGCUAGCCGUAGUCAAAAUUGUUAUGAAUGUGAGGUCACAUCAUCCCCAGCCUCACACUUCUGACCCCUUCUCUUCAUGACGUGCUCCACUCAUUCUGUCUCAGCUGAGCCUUGCACACUUUACUCUUGCUCUUCUACCAAAAGCUGAACUCAGGAAAUUUUCAGGAAUUUGGUUAUACGGUAGGGUAGAGACUGAAAACUAAGGGUUAUUUGCGUUGUAACAGCAUCAAAUUCCUCCAACUGAUUAAGGGUCUCCUGGAGGAAAUUGGGGCAUUUGGCCAAGUACAGGUGACACAUUCGCCUGCCUCAUUUACCUGUAGCUUCCAGGACCCGGAUUACUACACAAUGGAGUCCCAGAAGAUACUGAGCUGGUACCGAAUUAACAGUUCUUAGAAUGAACUUCCGCUUGAUCUCAGGAUAGCAGCCUAAGCAGAAGGAGGAGGAAAUCUGGGGCAAAUGAUUACAAUAGCAGGAACUGUAAGAUAAAAUUUGAUGCUAUCUUUUCAGCACUCAACCAAUUCAGGUCUGAACUUUUAUCUCUAAUUUGUGAUUUAUUUGGCAAAUUCAUGCAAAUAAGUCCCCAAGUUAUCUGUCUAUUCUUAUUUGUUGUCUGUCCAAUACAUCUGGAUGAAAAUAUAAUUACAGUGAAAUCACAACAGUGAGCAAGAAGCCUCAAAAUCUCAUUAAAGAUAGAAUAUGCUUCCUUAGGAAAAUUUGUACAAAGUAUUAGGAUUUAGUGUAUAUAGAUUGAGUUUAAGUUACCUAAGAUUGUUUAGGGAACUGAUUUGAACAAGUGCUUUAUGGAUAACAAAUGGAAAGGAAUAAGAAGGGGCUUUUAUCAAGUCCCCUGGAUAUGCUGGAGUGAUGACUUCACUACUCUGUGAGUGGUAGAGGAGGAGUAAGGAAAGGGAGCACCCCCCAGACCACAGGAGCUCUCCUUGAGCCCAGGAAGAGUCAGUGGAUCUGUUGUCUUCCUCGGUGCACUGUAAGACUUGACCAGGUGGCUACAAGUAAAACAUUGUAGGGCACAGUUGACUAUUUACUGCUGGCCCUUUAUACAAGGCCAAUCUAUCCAGAGGCUAUUCCAUGGUUCUCAUAAAGGAAUAUACAACUAUGAACACUUGAAAGAGAACCCUCUGGGAUCUCUAUUCCUAACUAAGUGAUGUGACUUACUACUGGCUGCUGGAUCUUUUGGCCUUCAUGAUAUGUGGACACCACUUCUGAUUUCUUGGGCCUUAAUACUCCUGCCCAACUUUUGAUCUUGUCCACUUUUGUACUGGCAUCCUUUGUAGUUUUAGGUAAGCUCACCCUACUCCAGACUCAGAAUUUUGCCAUUCCUGAAGAAGGAGAGUUAUACAGAUAUGAUGUAGAUUAGUCCCCCUAGCUUAACCGUAAGGCUUUAGGCAAGUUCUAGAGACACGCUGGGUAACACAAUGGCCAUCAUUAAUGCUGAGUAUCAUACUUUCCAUCAUUUGGCUUCUAGAGGUGAUGGAAUAGGGACCCAGGGUUUUCCAGAAACCAAGAGUAAUUCUAAAAGGCAAGACCUUAAGGGACAUCCUCUUCUUUGGCCGUCAAAGCAACCGGAGCUGUCACUGGGAUUAGCAGACAGAGGAUCAUGAUGAUUGGGAUUGCGGUGCUUGAGACUGAUGUGGGGUGCACCCAGCAAGAAGAUACCAAGUAACCCCAGAUGGAGGAUGAAAGAGAAGAGAAAUGUCACUCCUAGCAUGAUUGAUCAAAAUGUGUUUUAUUAUUGGUAUUGGCGGUGAAUCAAACAUGCGACUUCACACACACAACGUAUUCUUUGGAGUACUGCUUCAGGGCAGUUCUCCACCUGCGCUCCCAGGAUCGUCACCUACAGCAGCAGCAGCACUUGGGAACUUGUUAGAAACAUUUCCUUUUUAAAUUAAGAUAAAAACUUUAUGUAAUGGGA